rnacentral:rRNA from 1 species
GACGAACGCUGGCGGCGUGCCUAAUACAUGCAAGUCGAACGCAGUGGGGAUGGGUGAUUAACACGUUGGUAACCUCCCAUCAGAGGGGAUAACACUUGGAAACAGGUGCUAAACCGUGACUGCUGGAUGGACCCUCGGUGCAUUAGCUGGUUGGUGGGGUAACGGCUCACCAGGGCCACGAUGCAUAGCCGACCUGGUAGGGGGAUCGGCAAAACUGGAACUGCGAAACGGCCCAGACUCCUACGGGAGGCAGCAGUAGGGAAUCUUCGGAAAUGGACGAAAGUCUGACCGAGAAACGCGGCGUGAGUGAAGAAGGUUUUCGGAUCGUAAAACUCUGUUGUUAGAGAAGCGGUAUCUAACCAGAAAGCCACGGCUAACUACGUGCCAGCAGCCGCGGUAAUUC